UACAGACAGACAGAGCGGCACAGGGGAUAAAGAUGGUACGUCAGGCAGUGUCUGAGCUGAGAGCAGAGCAGGACUGCUAUCGGACACCUGACUGGGCACGGAGAAGCAAUGGGGCUACCAUCGACCUCCAGAGAACUUCUCCUACCUAUACGUUUAAGUGCUGGUUUUGCAGGCUCCACCAUUUCAUUGUCCCUGUGAAUCCUCCGGAUAC